CUUUGUGUGGAUGGACCAUAACCAAGUACUUAACCAAGUACUAUACAAGUCCAACAUAUACAAGAGGAAGUGCAAGGAGGUUUACAUCCGGUCUACAUCGGUUCAUCUACAAACCGGACCGAGAUCAGAAGACUCAGUCAAACUUGGAGAUAUCACCAUGACCAAGUCUUCUAUAUAUUGUGGUGUUGGCUAAUGAGAAAUACACACAACUUUCUCACAAAUCACUCUCCACAUUCUCUUUAGUUUAUAACACGUUAUCAGCACUAUAGUGCUCUUCACCUGAGAAGUCUCUCUCCACCUGAGCUCUCUUUUCCGGCCAUCUUUUCCGGCCAGAAAAUCUUAAAUUCAGGUGUAACUUUAAACCGCCGUAUCUCUCAAACCCUGUGGAGCCAGACGACGAUCCACCUAUCAAACUGAAGCCCAAGACGAGAGGAAUCCGUUGCCGAAGACGGCUUGUCGAUCCGAUCUCUGACGCGUCGUAAAUAGCAUAUACAAUUCGCGCCGCCGACUCAUGGUUUUUCCGGCCAGCUCCUCCACCUCUCUCUCAACCAGCUCAUCUGUGGAUCAACUCUCUCUCAUGGUGGUCCAUUCAGAUUCUUGUGGUGUAAAAUGCUAAGAAGACAUUCUUAAUAUCGUGUGAUUUCCGGAGCAACUCUGUGAGUAACGAUGGAGAGGGGACAGCCUAUUUAUGAGCACGACAUAGAAUACAACCGACUCAAGCAACUAAAAAAACUGAAGCGAAUGGUGGUCAUAGGUAUCCUUGUUAGUGAUGCAGUGAUAUUGUUCACCAGCUGGUACGUAGGUAUCAUAACAGUUCCAAUGUUUUAAAACUCAUGAGCCUGGAAUUUCAUACCUAGUCUGGAUGAUUAUAGUGUGUUUUCUUUUCUUUUUAGUUUUUGUUUAAAUUUUAAUCUUUCAGAGUAAUUUUUUUCAAAAAAAAUUCUGAAUUAUGGUUUUAUGAUAAUUAGCUCUAUAAACAAGCAACUGUUUUAAUCUACCAUAUCGUAAAGGAUUUUCAUGUUACUCUUCAAGGAAUAGAUACAAAAGCAAAUACAAUAUUUGAGACUGCUGUUCACCAUAUUUAUUUAUCCAAUCUUAAAGCUUGAAAUAAUGAACUUAACCUUGUUGACUCUUAAUUAACUAACUAGAUCAUGACCCGCGCUUCGGAAGUGCGGGAUAUUUUAUGAUUCAAAAUUUUGUUAACAAUGUUACAAAUAUUUAAUAUGUAAGAAUUUUGUCAAUUUAAAAAUUAAACUGUGUUUGAAUCAACAUUUUUAAAUUCAAUUUAGAUCGUCGAGCCAGUAAACCCGGUAAUCAGAUAUAUAAUCAAGUUUGAAUUGGUUAAAAGGUAAUGGGUUAAUAAGUUUGAUUUGAAUCCACUUUGAAUAUAUAAAUUAAUAACCUAUAAAUUAAUAUCUCUAUAAAUUAAUAUAAUUACAUAGCCUCAAAUUGAUUUUUUGGUUCAAUUAGUAUCUCGAUAAAUUAAUAAUCUCUAUAAAUUAAUAAAAAAUUAUAGGUUUGGUGUAGUCCCAACAUUAUUAAUUUAUAGAGGUUUCACUAUAUCAUAUAGUACGACUAUUAUAUAAAAUUAAUUGGUUAAGGAGUAAUGUAUUGCAUGGUGAUCAUCGCAUGGACUUAUUGGAUGGUGAUUAUGAAAUCUCAAAGUUAACAUUACUGCAUGUUGGUUAUGCAAUCAAUUGGGAAAGAAAAUAUUUUUUUUGAAUAGAAAAAAAAUCGGUCAACUGAUAAAAUGAAUGUAUAUAAAGUAUUAAGUUAGCAUAGAAUAAGGAAAUAAUUUACUAACAUUAAUUGUUAAUUAAUAGGAUCAGAAAAUAUAUCAUAUCUAAUAGUAGGUCCAAUUUAAAAAUCUACCUAGAAAAAGUCACAAUGUUUCUGUUUUAAUAAGAUAGAUAUUAGAAACUAUUUAAAUCGAAGAAUUUGUCCUAAAGUAAUUAAUGUAAACUGAUGGCUGGGUUAAAAGAAUUAAAGAGUGGGCUGCAAACAUCUAUUAAUGUCCGGCCCGGUUGUGGAAAUAAGCGAUAGGCCCACUAUUCAGGUUGCUAAUUGAUUAUAGGUGGAUCCUCUUAACCGGUCAACGCCUAUAUAAACCAAAGCUUUCGUUUUGUUGACUCUCACCGCUCAAUCACUUUCUUCAAGUCUCGACAAUGGCUCGCCGCCGUCGCUCCAGCUCUAACCGACGUUCUCGAUCCACCUCAGAGGAGGAAAAGGAAGCCAUCCGCCGCAGAAUGCACGAAGGCGCCGCAGCCAUCUGACGCAGAGCGCAGGAAGAAGUGGCAAGGAUUCGUUUGGUUCCUCCUGAUUAUCAACGUCGUGAUUGAGAUAAUGAUCAGCCUCCGUUUCAUAUAUGGAGGAGGCUUCUCCGCCUAAAACCAUCAUUCUCAGAACCAUCGCCGCCGUGUCACCACCACCACCACCACUUUCGGUUCAGUCAUUUUCUUUCAGCUGCCGGAAUCCAGGUCGCCAUCGAAAUCAUGAAGACUCGCUGUCGUAAUCACCAAGAGUCGCCGGCGUUGUUAGUUAGUUACGAUUUCGAACAAUGGUGGACUCUAAGUUUUGUUUAAUUACAAUUACCCCCCCCCUUCCCCCCCCCCCCCCCCCCCCCCCCCCUCCCUCCCUCCCCAAAGUUUAAGAAAAUACAUAAAUAACCCCCAAACGUUUAAUUGUUAAAUUUGGACCCAAAAUUAAUUAAGCUAGUGCACUCUCUUAGCCUCAAA